ACUGAGAUGUCAUCAAGAGCUCCUUUGAAGUCAAAGCCACAGGUAGACGGGUCGUAGUAUCGGUAGGAUUUGAGCUGCAUGCCAGCGUCUCUGAAGAUUGGUGUGUGGUUUCCCCAGGAGGGCUUGGGCAAGUACACGUCACGUGGACCUCCAUGGAAACGAGACUGUGACAAAGGAAAGUCCUGUGUCUUGUGAGUUUACAAGAACAGCAACUUCACUCUCACUAAGUCUGUCUGGAAGGAACAGCAGCCUCCAAGAACAUCAAACAACGGAGCCUGGAAAAGCAUGAAACAUUUUCCUGCAACUAUACAGCCUCCACUGGCACACAGAACGGGUCAUGUUCUUGACUUGCGUGUGGGGCUGCCACUGUGUGGUGGAGAUAGAGUAUGGCUAUUGCCAACACAUCCAUUGUGUCAGAGAAAACUCACAGUCACACAUGCAGUGUUCAAAAACAAUAAUUUGUGAAACAGACAUGAUGCGGAAUGUCAAUAAAUAAUACAUUAUA